GAAACCAACAGGGAUUGCCUCAGUAACGGCGAGUGAAGCGGCAAAAGCUCAAAUUUGAAAUCUGGCUCCUUUGGGGCCCGAGUUGUAAUUUGCAGAGGAUGCUUCGGGCGUGGCCGCGGUCUAAGUCCCCUGGAACGGGGCGUCGCAGAGGGUGAGAAUCCCGUCUUCGGCCGGCCGGCUUCGCCCAUGUGAAGCUCCUUCGACGAGUCGAGUUGUUUGGGAAUGCAGCUCUAAAUGGGUGGUAAAUUUCAUCUAAAGCUAAAUAUUGGUCGGAGACCGAUAGCGCACAAGUAGAGUGAUCGAAAGAUGAAAAGCACUUUGAAAAGAGAGUUAAACAGCAUGUGAAAUUGUUGAAAGGGAAGCGCUUGCGACCAGAGUCGGCCGUGGGGGUUCAGCGGGCAUUCGUUGCCCGUGCACUCCCCCACGGGCGGGCCAGCGUCGGUUUCGACGGCCGGUCAAAGGCCCCCGGAAUGUGUCGCCUCUCGGGGCGUCUUAUAGCCGGGGGUGCAAUGCGGCCAGUCGGGACCGAGGAACGCGCUUCGGCACGGACGCUGGCUUAAUGGUCGUAAGCGACCCGUCUUGAAACACGGACCAAGGAGUCUAACAUCCACGCGAGUGUUCGGGUGUCAAACCCGUCCGCGCAGUGAAAGCGAACGGAGGUGGGAACCCUUAAGGGUGCACCAUCGACCGAUCCUGAAGUCUUCGGAUGGAUUUGAGUAAGAGCGUGGCUGUUGGGACCCGAAAGAUGGUGAACUAUGCCUGAAUAGGGUGAAGCCAGAGGAAACUCUGGUGGAGGCUCGCAGCGGUUCUGACGUGCAAAUCGAUCGUCGAAUUUGGGCAUAGGGGCGAAAGACUAAUCGAACCAUCUAGUAGCUGGUUCCUGCCGAAGUUUCCCUCAGGAUAGCAGUAACGUUUUCAGUUUUAUGAGGUAAAGCGAAUGAUUA
rnacentral:rRNA from 1 species